AUGAAUAAUAUUAUUGUGAAUAAUGCGGUUCACCUUGUUAUAGCAGCGGUAGCAGCAUCAAUGAUGAUGCUGCCUACAGCAGAAGCUGCAUUGUAUACCGUCGGAGACGACUUGGGUUGGACUAUUCCUCCGGGCGGCGCUGCCACUUAUGCUGCCUGGGCUGCCAAGCAUAGCUUUGUAGUCAAAGAUAUUCUAGGUCAACCCAAAUUUUCAAUUUCUUUAUUUUCUUCUUGGAAUUUCGCUACUUUAUUUUAUUUGAUCGAAAGACAGAAAGAAUGGUUACAAAAACAGGAAAUCUUUACGUUAAAACUUUGCCCUAAAAAAACCGAACAAGUAAAAUUCGAAAUUUCGCUGCUUCAUUAUUUAGUGAUAUAUAUGUUGUUUGUUUUUGCAGUGUUUAACUUUUCUGCCGGAGAAGAUGACUUGGCUGUGGUAACCAAGGAAGAUUUUGACACGUGUAACACCACGAACCCCUUAUAUGAAUUCGAAGAACCAGCGACACUUCAAUUUCUUGCAAGCGAUACAUUUUAUUUCACGAGCACCUUGGCCGGCCACUGCUCCAAAGGCCAGAAGUUAGCCAUUUACUUCGCUCCCUCUUCAACCGAUUCUCCAAGUCCAAGUCCAACGUCCUCCUUCCCCCUCAAAUUAGUGUCUCAAAAGAUCAUGCAGGGCACAAGAACAUAA
rnacentral:lncRNA from 1 species